rnacentral:rRNA from 1 species
AACCUGGUUGAUCCUGCCAGUAGUCAUAUGCUUGUCUCAAAGACUAAGCCAUGCAUGUCUAAGUAUAAGUAUUAUACAGCGAAACUGCGAAUGGCUCAUUAAAACAGUUAUAAUUUAUUUGAUAAUCGAAUUUACAAGGAUAACCGUGGUAAUUCUAGAGCUAAUACAUGCUGGUAGGCCCGACUUUUUGGAAGGGCGGUAUUUAUUAGAUAACAAACCAAUAUUCCUCUGGUCUAUUGUGGUGAAUCAUAAUAACUGAUCGAAUCGCAAGGUUUUUAACCGCGAUAAGUCAUUCAAGUUUCUGCCCCAUCAGCUUUCGAUGGUAGUGUAUUGGACUACCAUGGCUUUUACGGGUAACGGAGGAUUAGGGUUCGAUUCCGGAGAGGGAGCCUGAGAAACGGCUACCACAUCUAAGGAAAGCAGCAGGCGCGUAAAUUACCCAAUCCUGACUCAGGGAGGUAGUGAC